GUACUCUCUCUAGCACCACAUAAACUGAAAUGAGAAUACAGAGAUUAGCAUGACCCCUGCACAAGGAAGACACGAAAAUUUGUGAAGCGUUCCAUAUUUAA
ensembl:snRNA Rnu6-406 RNA, U6 small nuclear 406